AAACUGUUCAGAUGCAAAGUUUGGUAAAAUAAUUAUGGUUUGUGCCGUUAUUUGUUACCAAACUUUGCAUCUGCACUGUUCUUCUCAGCUGGGCUCAGUCCCACAUCGUGUUUUAUCACUUAUUUGGCUAAAUCAUUAUCCAUAGUUGCCUCUUUUGAUACAGCCACAGCAGUCAUAAAAUGGACUGUUACCUUGAAUGCAACAUUAAGAUGUUAAAACAUUUAAACUUUAAUUGAACUUUGUCUGUGACAUUUCCUGACCGGAGACAGGUCAGUGUGUGUAGAGAGAACAGGUUUGAUCAGGUGGAGUCAGGCUUCUACUUCAUCGCCCUGGACCACUGCACCAAUGAGGCAGAGGACGCCAAGUUUGGACCAGUCUGCCCUCUCUAUAGAUUAUGCUGAUACCUCACUGUGAGAACCUAGAGAUCUUCACUGGUUCUGAGGGAGGUGACGUGGCCACAAACAGUGCCCGGGACACCUUCCAGCGCUACCGCUGUCUGGAGAACAGCCAGAAGGUGGUCAAGACAUCUGAUGCAACUUCAUCUUUAGUGUGUCAGCUCUGCUGCACCUGGGAGCUGAAGUUCUAAACGACCAUCAUCGAGUCCAUCCUCACCUCCAUCACUGCAACGGAUUGUCCGGUCUGCUGAGAGGGUCAUUGGCUGCCACUUGCCCUCCAUCCAGGUCCUGCACGACUCCAGGGCAAGGAAGCGUGUAGGAAAGAUCCUCGCCGACCCCUUCCACCCCUUCUUCCACAGACUCCCCUUUGGCAAAUGGUUCAGGUCAAUCACGACCAAAACCUCACGCCACCUGAACAGUUUCUUCCCCCGCGCCGUGGCCCUCACCAACCGGCCACCUGGUCCAUGAUGAUCCUCUCAUCCAUGGACUUUGCACUGCACUAUUUAUCCACAGACUAUGCACCCUGCACUAUCAACCCAGAACUGCACAUUACUCUUUUUGAACUCUCUGCACAUCUCUUCCAUGCAUAAUUUAUAGUGUCUUACAGUGUUCAUAGUGUACAUACUGUAUGUGGAAAUUCUGCGUCUAUAUGUUUUGUCUGUAUAUUCAGUUUAUUGUGGCAGCACCAUUUCAGAGUCAAAUUCCUGUACAUGCUAAUGUAUUUGGCUAAUACAGCUGAUUAUGACAUGUUAACCUGAGUUUAGCUGGUUUAUCAGCUUUAUGUCAGUUUACAUUCUAUUAUUAGGGACUGGAUGAACUGUAGCAGGUAGCAGGUUCUCCCCUUUGUCUUCAUAUCAUUCAAAAUCCCCAUGUGUGUGUGUGUCCUUGGGUUUAAUACCCUAAAUAUUGGAUCCUACCUGCAAUUAGUGGACUUGUUUUAUGGUGUUUGUUAGAGCUGACAGUCUGCUUUUCAUUUUACAGAUGAACGUUGCUGUCUAACAAGUAAAUAGCUACAGUAGCUAACUUUAGCAAGUAGAUUCCACUCAACUCAAGGUAUAGUAUAGCUAUUUGAAUUUAUAUCCCAAUUCAUUUGGUUAUGAAGGUGCUGGGUUUCCCAAGUUGUUCGGUGCCUACUGCUUAGCCGGCUAGCUAGCUAAACAGACAGCUCCACAGUGCAUUUGUUUCAAGACACGCAAACAUAAGGGUUGUAAUAGCCAAUCACAACAAUGGACUGGCCCCUGUGCCCCCCUGUGCCCCCC